AACAAAAACACACACACACUUAGCAUGCUGCAGAUCAUACACUAAAGAGCAAAACAAUGUGUGAACAGAAGCAGAUAAGACAAAAACGCUAGUCUGGAUUAUAACACUUUUAAUGUGGUUUCCUGCAAGGCGAUAUUUCAGGUUAGAGGUGACGGACUCGUUGGAAGCUGCACGGCGUGAUCUGUGAGCGUGUGUUCAUGCAUAUUCGUGCUUGUGUUAAGAGUUUGGCUUCUUAAAUUAGGGGUUAGCGGCCAGAGCAAACUGUGAAGCGAGCUCUUAUUAUAAACCAAGACAAAAGUUAUUUUUUUCAAGCUAUUUAACCCCUUAACUGUCACCAUCUUGGUGCUCUUUUUACUUAGCGCACAUAUUUUAGUCAUCAUCAUAAUUUGAUGGCAAUUUUAGAGUAAAACAAAAUGAUAAAAUACACAUGUUACAUAAAAUAAAAAUGUUUAGUAUAGUACAAUUGAUUUACAGUAAAUAAACUUCCAUAACUUUUUCAGACUUAUUUUUUUGUGCUUUUUUAGUAAUAUUUUAGUAAUCAUAAUAAUUUAGGUAUCAUUCGAAAGCUUACGAACUAAAAAUUCAUCCUGUGAAAACUAUUUUGAAAUUGGACGUUGCGUUACCAUGAAAAACACUGUAAAUUCUUUAGCGAGCUCCUCCCCUAGUGGGCGGUGUCAGGUUUCGUAUUACAAAUUUUAUUUGAACUACUUUAUAUUUAAAACUUUUUCUAAUCUUCACAAAACAUGUCGUCGGAAAGUCUCAAGGUUCCAUAUUUGGUGAUUGUUUUGUGAUAUUUGAAUAGAGAUUUAUAAAUUUGUAACAUGAGAGCGCGUCAAAAUGUUUUUAAAUGGAAUGUGGGUGACACCCGGUGGAUAUUUUUGGUACAGCGCCUAAACAAAAUUUCAUUGGAACUUUAAUUUUUGUGUUAUCAACUUAUUUAGAAAUAUGGCUUUGAUUUGAUAGCAAUUAAAAAAAAAAAAAAAAAAAAAAAUGAUAGAAUAUAUAUUAUAUAAAAAAUGUUUAGUAUAAACAUUUUAUUUACAGUAAAUAUAAACUUCCAUAACUUUUUCAGACUUUUAUUUUUAUUUAUAUAAUCUGCUGAGUGUCUUCUUUAAAACGAGACCAACUUUAUGUCUAUAUUCCAUAGUAUUCUUGAAUUACAUCCAUUUAGGUUUGGAUAGUGCAUUUUCAUGUCUAUGCUCAAAACAGUUAAGGGGUUAAGCGAUCUGGAAAUUAAAAGUCAACAUGGAAUCAAAACAGACCUCAUUUACUUCGUCAAUUUUUUUUUU